AGUCGCCGGCAGCUCCUGCCAGCAGCCACCAGUCACUGCCCACUGCCCGCGCUGCCCGCGCUGCACACUGCCGCCAUGUGGCGCCCCCUGCACGCGCUGCUGCUGCUGCCCGCGCUGCUGCUGCUCUGGAACAGCUCGGCGGAGGCGGGCCCGCUGUUCGAGUCGCUGAGUCUCCUGCCCAGCGCCGGCAACGUGUCGCAGCACCUGCAGCACCAGCUGGCCGCGCUCGACCUGCUCGCCUCGCUGGCCGGCCUCGCCUCGCUCGCCGCCGACACCGCCGACACCGCCGGUCU